AAGCGGAGGAAAAGAAACCAACAGGGAUUGCCCUAGUAACGGCGAGUGAAGCGGCAACAGCUCAAAUUUGAAAUCUGAUCUCUUCGAGGUCCGAGUUGUAAUUUGUAGAGGGCGCUUUGGUGUUGGCUGCGGUCUAAGUUCCUUGGAACAGGACGUCAUAGAGGGUGAGAAUCCCGUCUGUGGUCGCAUGUCUUCACCGUGUAAAGCCCCUUCGACGAGUCGAGUUGUUUGGGAAUGCAGCUCUAAAUGGGAGGUAAAUUUCUUCUAAAGCUAAAUACUGGCCAGAGACCGAUAGCGCACAAGUAGAGUGAUCGAAAGAUGAAAAGCACUUUGGAAAGAGAGUCAAACAGCACGUGAAAUUGUUGAAAGGGAAGCGCUUGCAGCCAGACUUGCUUGCAGUUGCUCAUCCGGGCGCUCGCCCGGUGCACUCUUCUGUAGGCAGGCCAGCAUCAGUUUGGGCGGUUGGAUAAAGGCCUCUGUCAUGUAUCUUCUCCGGAAGACCUUAUAGGGGAGGCGUAAUGCAACCAGCCUGGACUGAGGUCCGCGCAUCUGCUAGGAUGCUGGCGUAAUGGCUGUAAGCGGCCCGUCUUGAAACACGGACCAAGGAGUCUAACAUCUAUGCGAGUGUUUGGGUGUCAAGCCCGAGCGCGCAAUGAAAGUGAACGGAGGUGGGAACCCUCGGGUGCACCAUCGACCGAUCCUGAAGUCUUCGGAUGGAUUUGAGUAAGAGCAUAGCUGUUGGGACCCGAAAGAUGGUGAACUAUGCUUGAAUAGGGUGAAGCCAGAGGAAACUCUGGUGGAGGCUCGCAGCGGUUCUGACGUGCAAAUCGAUCGUCAAAUUUGGGCAUAGGGGCGAAAGACUAAUCGAACUAUCUAGUAG
rnacentral:rRNA from 1 species